AGGUUGGCUCAGAAGCAGCCAUCCUUUAAAGAGUGCGUAACAGCUCACUAGUCGAGUGACCCUGCGCCGAAAAUGUACCGGGGCUAAGCCUGAUACCGAAACUGCGGAUUGUAGGAAACUAUAGUGGUAGGGGAGCGUUGUAUACGAGCAGAAGCCGUACCGUGAGGAGCGGUGGAUUGUAUAGAAGUGAGAAUGCCGGUGUGAGUAGCGAGAUGUAGGUGAGAAUCCUACACACCGAAAGCCCAAGGAUUCCAGGGGAAGGUUCGUCCGCCCUGGGUAAGUCGGGACCUAACGCGAGGCCGAAAGGCGUAGUGGAUGGAAAGCAGGCGAAAGAUUCCUGCACCCGUAUAUGGAGCGAAGGAGUGACGGAGACGGAUAGUGUGACCCUCUUAAUGGAUUGAGGGCGAAGCGAAGCGGCUGGUUACCAGGCAAAUCCGGUAACCAAAAGGCUAGAGCGUGACAGGUAAGCGAAAUCUUAGGAAAGUAGCGAAGCACAUGAUGACGGCUUCCAGGAAAAGCUUCUGGCAAUGCAUAUGCGGCCCGUACCAAAACCGACACAGGUGGGCAGGGAGAGAAUCCCGAGGUGAGCGAGAGAACUGUUGCCAAGGAACUCGGCAAAAUGACUCCGUAAGUUAGCGAGAAGGAGUGCUUAAGCAAUUAAGCCGCAGUGAAGAGGCCCAAGCGACUGUUUAACUAAAACACAGCUCUCUGCGAAGUCGCAAGACGAAGUAUAGGGGGUGACACCUGCCCGGUGCUGGAAGGUUAAGAGGAUCUGUUAAGAGCGAUCUGAAGCAGUGAUCCGAAGCCCCAGUGAACGGCGGCCGUAACUAUAACGGUCCUAAGGUAGCGAAAUUCCUUGUCAGGUAAGUUCUGACCCGCACGAAAGGUGUAACGAUUUGGGCGCUGUCUCGGCAGCAGACUCGGUGAAAUCUUAGUACCUGUGAAAAUGCAGGUUACCCGCAACUAGACGGAAAGACCCCAUGGAGCUUUACUGCAGCCUGAUAUUGAAUUCUGGUCAUACAUGUACAGGAUAGGUGGGAGACAAAGAGACGUGCACGCCAGUGUACGAGGAGUCGACGUUGGGAUACCACUCUUGUGUGACCGGGGUUCUAACCUGGUAUCGAGAACAGGUACGGGGAGAGUGUCAGGUGGGCAGUUUGACUGGGGCGGUCGCCUCCCAAAGAGUAACGGAGGCGCCCAAAGGUACGCUCAGAUUGGAUGGAAACCAAUCGUCGAGUGCAAUUGCAGAAGCGUGCUUGACUGUGAGACAAACAAGUCGAACAGGGACGAAAGUCGGGAAUAGUGAUCCGGCGGUGCCGAAUGGAAGGGCCGUCGCUCAACGGAUAAAAGCUACCCUGGGGAUAACAGGCUGAUCUCGCCCAAGAGUUCACAUCGACGGCGAGGUUUGGCACCUCGAUGUCGGCUCAUCGCAUCCUGGGGCUGUAGCAGGUCCCAAG
rnacentral:rRNA from 1 species